GUUAGGCAGCAGCGGCCAGCUUGGCGCCACUCAGUCUUCUGGGUAGCCGCCUAGCUGUGAGGACGUGUCGGACCUUAGUUGACUCACCAGUAGAGACAUAAAGACGGUCCCUAUGUUUUUCAAGCACCCUUCAUGGCGCAUUUCAGGAUUGAGAACUGUCAGGAGAUCUGGAUGGAGCCUUGCAGCUCAUGGCAAGCUGCUCCUGCUGGUGAAGGAGUUCCUCAACAGGCUGCCCAGCAAGGUGAUGCAGCAGAGGAUAGCACAGCAAGAGACAAGUUUUGAUCUUCAGGAUCCACUAAGUAAACUCAUAAAUCAUUUUAUGUUAAUAAUUGAUCUAUAUGACAAGUUAUCAAAAUAUUACAUCUAAGUACAUUA